rnacentral:lncRNA from 1 species
CAGGACACUUCGGCUUUGGCAGGGCCUGAUCCUGUGAGCCCCCAGGUGCAGGGCGGGUUACAAGAUGGACUGUAGGAUGGGGUCACCCACUGCUCAGUCCAGCCAGCCAGCCACAUGACCAUUCAUAAUCAUUACAGAUUUUUUAAAAGAAGAAAUAUAUGGACAGAAAGCGCCAGUACCCACGCGCCAGCCGAGACAGCAAUAGCGAGACACUCCGGACAGGCGGAGGGCGUGCGGCCUUCCCACCGCCCACCUGAAAACACUGCCUAAAGGUGAGCCCAGUCCACGAAGCCUGCAUGAAAUGACGCGUUCAACAGCAGGAAGGACCUGGGUGGCAUAAAAAGAAAAAGAGUCAGGGAGACCAAGUCAG